CCCCACUUUUCUUUCUCUUCUUCUCCCCUCUCCUACUUCAUAUCUCUUCCAUAAAUAUCGAACCCAUCAUCUUCAACAUCUUCAUUGCAUAUAUUUUACAUCUCAAUAUUCUUUCAACUUAGUGGUUAUUGUUUAUGCUAGAAUCGUAACAUUCUCUAUGUAUUUUGUAGGAAAAAUCCCAAGUGGAUGGUAACACUAAGCGUAAAUGGGAGAUGGAAACCAAGUUAUCGAAUGAUGGGAGACAAUAAAACUCAACAAAGAAUAAGGUAAUAAAAUUGGUAGAGCGCCACUUCCCAGGUGCCGCAGCGUUACAUCUCUGUGCGUAAUUUUUUUUUAAGUUUGUUUAGUUUUUUUCUUUUCUUUUCUCUCUCUAUAUAUAUACCCCUCCCCUUUUGUCUUUUUAUUUUUCAAUCUCUCUUUUCCCUAAUCCCUCUGAAACCCUACAUUUGUUUCUCUUCUUAUUCCCGUUCGUACGUCCAAAUCUCUUUUGUAAAUAUCAAAUCCAUCAUCUUCAACACCUUCAUUGCAUAGAUUUCACACCUCAACAUACUUUCAACUUAUUGGGAUUUCUACACAUAGAAGGACAAGUUUUUAAAAUUGUUUUUGGUGUGUGGUGCUAUUGGAUACUAUAUUACACUUGACGAUUAGGUGGAAGUAAGAAAUUUCUUAUGGGUUUUAGUAGAUUGCUGUGGUUUUCACACCUUGAGAUGUUGAUUUUAUGUUUAGGAUUAGGUUUAAGGAAAUUCGAGAUUUGAAUUGUGACAUGAGUGCAAGGUGUUUGUUGAAAAUCCUUAAAGAACUUUAAUUUCCUUGUUGACUUAUGUGUUACUUUUGCCUAUUUAUUGAGAAAAUUGCAGUACUUUGUUAGGGGAUUUAGUGGUCAUUAAUGACUUGAUUUGUUAAGAGACUAGUGUUACUUGGAACUUUUAUCAUAUUUUGUGAAGGUUGUAGUGAUUUGUGACACAUUUUUGGGUUCAAUUGUGGUGGAUUUACUUAAUUGCAUUGUUGCUUUUUGAAGUGCACAAUGCCACAAAAAAUCUUCAACCUCUUCGUCAAGCUCAUUUGAUAGCAGUACAUUUGUGAGUGCGAAAGCCGAAAAUCGAUAUCAUAACAUGGUCGUUCACAAAAAAUUGAAUUAUAGAAUAGCAUUUUACCAAUCUUUAACUUUAUAUGCGGGAAUAGAUUGAGCACAGGAAUUGGGAAUUAUUUAUAAAGCAACCGCAGCUAGGGUUAAUACCAAUGGUUCGUGAAUUUUAUGCAAGUGCUAAGGACCACCAGGAUUUGAAGGUUUAUGUUAGAGGAAAAUGGAUCUGUUUUGACAGAACCUCAAUUAAUCGAUUCUAUAGAUUAGCAGAUAUUGAUAAAGAUGACUUCUUAAAAUGCAUGAAGAGGGGCAAUCAAUCCGAUAGACAUAAUUCGAGAGUUAACCUGACUGGGCACUAAUGUCACCAAUUUUUCAGCUGUAAGCAUGUUUCCUAAAUGCAAAGCUUG
rnacentral:lncRNA from 1 species